UGGGGAAUAUUGCACAAUGGGCGCAAGCCUGAUGCAGCCAUGCCGCGUGUAUGAAGAAGGCCUUCGGGUUGUAAAGUACUUUCAGCGGGGAGGAAGGGAGUAAAGUUAAUACCUUUGCUCAUUGACGUUACCCGCAGAAGAAGCACCGGCUAACUCCGUGCCAGCAGCCGCGGUAAUACGGAGGGUGCAAGCGGUAAUCGGAAUUACUGGGCGUAAAGCGCACGCAGGAGGUUUGUUAAGUCAGAUGUGAAAUCCCCGGGCUCAACCUGGGAACUGCAUCUGAUACUGGCAAGCUUGAGUCUCGUAGAGGGGGGUAGAAUUCCAGGUGUAGCGGUGAAAUGCGUAGAGAUCUGGAGGAAUACCGGUGGCGAAGGCGGCCCCCUGGACGAAGACUGACGCUCAGGUGCGAAAGCGUGGGGAGCAAACA
rnacentral:rRNA from 1 species